UACGGGGGAGCAAGCGUUGUUCGGAUUUACUGGCGUAAAGGGCGCGUAGGCGGUCAGCACAGUCAGUUGUGAAAUCUCCGGGCUUAACUCGGAAAGGUCAACUGAUACUGUGCGACUAGAGUGCGGAAGGGGCAACUGGAAUCUCGGUGUAGCGGAUGAAUGCGUAGAUAUCGAGAGGAACACCUGCGGCGAAGGCGGUUGCUGGGCCGACACGUGACGCUGAGGCGCGAAAGCCAGGGGAGCGAACGGG
rnacentral:rRNA from 1 species